GGAGUUAGCCGGUGCUUCUUCUGUGAGUGAUGUCCUUCCUGCCGGCUAUUAACCCGCAGGCCUUCUUCCUCACUGAAAGUGCUUUACAACCCGAAGGCCUUCUUCACACACGCGGCAUGGCUGGAUCAGGGUUGCCCCCAUUGUCCAAUAUUCCCCACUGCUGCCUCCCGUAGGAGUCUGGGCCGUGUCUCAGUCCCAGUGUGGCUGAUCAUCCUCUCAGACCAGCUACGGAUCGUCGCCUUGGUGAGCCGUUACCUCACCAACCAGCUAAUCCGACAUAGGCUCAUCCGAUAGCGCGAGGCCCGAAGGUCCCCCGCUUUCCCCCGUAGGGCGUAUGCGGUAUUAGCCUGGGUUUCCCCACGGUUAUCCCCCACUACCGGGCAGAUUCCUAUGCAUUACUCACCCGUCCGCCGCUCGCCACCAGGGAGCAAGCUCCCCGUGCUGCCGCUCGACUUGCAUGUGUUAGGCCUGCCGCCAGCGUUCAAUCUGAGCCAGAAUCAAACUCUGA
rnacentral:rRNA from 1 species